rnacentral:rRNA from 1 species
AAGUGACGGUACCUGCAGAAAAAGCCCCGGCUAAUUACGUGCCAGCAGCCGCGGUAAUACGUAGGGCGCAAGCGUUAUCCGGAAUUAUUGGGCGUAAAGAGCUCGUAGGCGGUUUGUCGCGUCUGCUGUGAAAACCCGAGGCUCAACCUCGGGCCUGCAGUGGGUACGGGCAGACUAGAGUGCGGUAGGGGAGAUUGGAAUUCCUGGUGUAGCGGUGGAAUGCGCAGAUAUCAGGAGGAACACCGAUGGCGAAGGCAGAUCUCUGGGCCGUUACUGACGCUGAGGAGCGAAAGGGUGGGGAGCAAACAGGCUUAGAUACCCUGGUAGUCCACCCCGUAAACGUUGGGAACUAGUUGUGGGGGCCUUUCCACGGUCUCCGUGACGCAGCUAACGCAUUAAGUUCCCCGCCUGGGGAGUACGGCCGCAAGGCUAAAACUCAAAGGAAUUGACGGGGACCCGCCCAAGCGGCGGAGCAUGCGGAUUAAUUCGAUGCAACGCGAAGAACCUUACCAAGGCUUGACAUACACCGGAAACGUCUGGAGACAGUCGCCCCUUUUUGGUCGGUGUACAGGUGGUGCAUGGUUGUCGUCAGCUCGUGUCGUGAGAUGUUGGGUUAAGUCCCGCAACGAGCGCAACCCUCGUUCUAUGUUGCCAGCACGUUAUGGUGGGAACUCAUGGGAUACUGCCGGGGUCAACUCGGAGGAAGGUGGGGAUGACGUCAAAUCAUCAUGCCCCUUAUGUCUUGGGCUUCACGCAUGCUACAAUGGCCGGUACAAAGGGCUGCAAUACCGUGAGGUGGAGCGAAUCCCAAAAAGCCGGUCCCAGUUCGGAUUGAGGUCUGCAACUCGACCUCAUGAAGUCGGAGUCGCUAGUAAUCGCAGAUCAGCAACGCUGCGGUGAAUACGUUCCCGGGUCUUGUACACACCGCCCGUCAAGUCAUGAAAGUCGGUAACACCUGAAGCCGGUGCGCCUAACCCCUUGUGGGUAAGGAGC